CUCCUUCAUGCUCCCAUGCCAUUUCACCCUACCACCAUUGAAAUCAAAAUUUUCAUUUCUUUUCCUUUCCUUUUUUUUCUUACUUUUUCCUUCUCCUAUCUUAUUAUGCACCAAAACCAUAGCUUCUAACCCCAUUUUUUAGCACAUCUAAACCCUAGGAGAGAGAGAGAGAGAGAGAAAUAUCUUUCUUUCUUUCUUUCAUUUUCUAUUUCUACUCCACCUUCAUCAACACUUGAGUUUUCAACUUCAAAUCUUCAUUUUUAAAGCCAAAAGGUUUUUAUUGAUCUUUGUGCCUCCAAGCUCAUUAAGGACUUACUUGGAUUAAGAUCUUGUGGGUGAUAGUUUUGUAAAGUGACAUUAUUAAGUUUUCAGGAUCGAAGGUAAUUAGAUCCUAGGUCGAGGUGCUCCCUCCUAUUCAUCUUUCGGUAGGUUCUCUACGACUCUCAAUGAUAGCACCCACGCUCAGAGUCACUCUGCUGGUUGUCAAGGGUUUGUUGUAUGUUUAUAUGUGAUGGUUUAAUGUAAAUUGUG